ensembl:lncRNA
AUCUAGUACAUGAAGAGAUGGGAGCAUCUAGUACAUGAAGAGAUGGGAGCAUCUAGUACAUGAAGAGAUGGGAGCAUCUGGUACAUGAAGAGAUGGGAGCAUCUAGUACAUGAAGAGAUGCAGUGAAAGGAGCCUCUCUUUAUCAAAUCCUCCUUCAGAGUCACAAGCAGGUUAAACAUUGUGAUUUCUAUAUAAUACUGUAUCUGAGAUCAGAUUCUGCAGGUUAAACAUUGUGAUUUCUAUAUAAUACUGUAUCAGAGUUUAAACAUUGUGAUUUCUAUAUAAUACUGUAUCUGAGUUUAAACAUUGUGAUUUCUAUAUAAUACUGUAACAGAGAUCAGAUUCUGCAGGUUCAUUGACACGUACCUUCAUCAAAUAACUCUCUUCAUUCAGGAGGUGCAGCUUAAUUUCCAAAGUUCACUUUUUCUUCAACAACAUCCGUGUUGUCCAUGUAUUUAUCACAGGACCCCUGCAGCAGCAGUAUUGAUCAACAUCCGUGUUGUCCAGGUAUUUAUCACAGGACCCCUGCAGCAGCAGCAUUGAUCAACAUCCGUGUUGUCCAGGUAUUUAUCACAGGACCCCUGCAGCAGCAGCAUUGAUCAACAACCGUGUUGUCCAUGUAUUUAUCACAGGACCCCUGCAGCAGCAGCAUUGAUCUGCAACUAAGCAGAAACUAGUAACACAAUCAAAUUAAAAUCUGAUAGUCUGUCG